rnacentral:rRNA from 1 species
UACGUAGGGGGCGAGCGUUGUUCGGAUUUACUGGGCGUAAAGGGUGCGCAGGCGGCGCCGUAAGUCGGGUGUGAAAUUUCGGAGCUUAACUCCGAAACUGCAUUCGAUACUGCGGUGCUUGAGGACUGGAGAGGAGACUGGAAUUCAUGGUGUAGCAGUGAAAUGCGUAGAGAUCAUGAGGAAGACCAGUGGCGAAGGCGGGUCUCUGGACAGUUCCUGACACUGAGGCACGAAAGCCAGGGGAGCAAACGGG